GCUGUCUGUUGGGUGUGCACUUGUAGAGCGGGCCGAAUCUCUUUGCUGAUUGAACAUAAAUGGAAUAUUUAUAUGUAUAUCAAACGACGGAACAAGAUAUUGUUUUCCACUACAUAAAAAAAUAUGAUCUACACUUCGUUGGAUUGCAUUAAUUAAGUCUGCGCGCAAUGCUUCCAUUUGAUGUAAACCAAU